rnacentral:sRNA from 1 species
CCCCAUUUAUGGCAAGAAUGGCGCCCAAUACACUAAACAUGCUGCCUUUUGUCUAGAGACUCAAAAGUAUCCCGAUGCUGUCAAUCAUCCCAACUUCCCAUCGAUCAUUUUAAAUCCGGAUGAAGAAUACAACCACGAAGUGAUUUACAAAUUUGGCAUAUGUCGUAACUCGGGCUGUGGCAAACAUUAGCCGAACAAGGGUAAUUCCAGGAAAUAACAAUAAUGCAAAGACAAACAAGGCGAGAAUGGAAUGGUACGAGGAAGCAGGAAAUGAAUGGAAAUCAAUGUCUGUCAGCCAGUUAGUCUGACAAGAUUUUAAACUAUAUUUAAAUGAAAUCCAAUGUAAAAAUUUUAAACAAAUAAAAUGAGCUUAAAUAUUUAU